rnacentral:rRNA from 1 species
ACUUCCUGACGAGCGGCGGACGGGUGCGUAACACGUAGGAAUCUGCCCGGUAGUGGGGGAUAGCCCGGAGAAAUUCGGAUUAAUACCGCAUACGCCCUAAGGGGGAAAGCAGGGGAUCUUCGGACCUUGCGCUAUCGGAUGAGCCUGCGUCGGAUUAGCUAGUUGGUGGGGUAAAGGCCCACCAAGGCGACGAUCCGUAGCUGGUCUGAGAGGAUGAUCAGCCACACUGGGACUGAGACACGGCCCAGACUCCUACGGGAGGCAGCAGUGGGGAAUAUUGCACAAUGGGCGAAAGCCUGAUGCAGCCAUGCCGCGUGUGUGAAGAAGGCCCUAGGGUUGUAAAGCGCUUUCAGUGGGGAGGAAAGGGAGAUUGCUAAUAUCAGUCUCCUGUGACGUUACCCACAGAAGAAGCACCGGCUAACUCCGUGCCAGCAGCCGCGGUAAUACGGAGGGUGCGAGCGUUAAUCGGAAUUACUGGGCGUAAAGCGUGCGUAGGCGGCUUUUUAAGUUGGAUGUGAAAGCCCCGGGCUUAACCUGGGAACUGCAUCCAAAACUGGAAGGCUUGAGUGCGAGAGAGGAGUGUGGAAUUUCCUGUGUAGCGGUGAA